rnacentral:rRNA from 1 species
AGAGUUUGAUCCUGGCUCAGGACGAACGCUGGCGGCGUGCUUAACACAUGCAAGUCGAACGAGGGACAAGGAGCUUGCUCCUUGUAACCGAGUGGCGAACGGGUGAGUAACACGUGACCAACCUGGCUUCGGGCGGGGGACAACCUGGGGAAACCCGGACUAAUACCGCGUAUCGUCUCUCUGCCACAUGACGGAGAGAUAAAAGAGGGCCUCUGCUUGCAAGCUCUCACCCGAAGGGGGGGUCGCGUUGUAUCAGCUUGUUGGUGAGGUAAUGGCUCACCAAGGCUUCGACGCAUAGCGGGUCUGAGAGGACGACCCGUCACAUUGGGACUGAGAUACGGCCCAGACUCCUACGGGAGGCAGCAGUGGGGAAUAUUGCGCAAUGGUCGAAAGACUGACGCAGCGACGCCGCGUGUGGGAGGAAGCCUUUCGGGGUGUAAACCACUGUCAGGGGGGAAGAACUUCGUGGAUGUAAAUAGCACUCACGAUUGACGGUACCCCCAGAGGAAGCGCCGGCUAACUCCGUGCCAGCAGCCGCGGUAAGACGGAGGGCGCAAGCGUUGUUCGGAAUUACUGGGCGUAAAGGGCGGGCAGGCGGUCUGUUAAGUCUUUUGUGAAAAUCCGGGGCUCAACCCCGUGAAACGCAUAGGAUACUGGCAGACUUGAGACCAGUAGAGGCUAGCGGAAUUCCUGGUGUAA